ensembl:lncRNA
AGCUAAUCAGGUCUGUCAGAGAAUGGAAGCCUUUAGAGUUUCACAGCAACUUGAAUAACAUGAUCUCAAGAGAACCCUGCUCUUUGUUAAAUAAUGACUGGCUGUUAUAGAUGGACAACACUGACAUUCUCAGAGAAGGAAGAACUGUUUUGUCAUACCAGCAACUACAGCAACUGUAAAAUCAGGCAAUUUUGACAAGCCUCCCAGCAGCAGUGCAAGGAAGUAGGAAAGUAGUAAGCAGAAUUUCCUUUGUAUUACUCUAGUUUAUUUACUCUGAAUGACUCACUGCAAAAAACUUACUGCUGCAAGCCACAACUGUAAUGUUUUUUAAGUUUGAGUCAUGCACAGAAUGACUUACUCAUGAGGGCUGGACAAUAACAUCUGUAUGUAAAAGCCAAACUAUUCGUGUCACACCCUAUUUUCCUACUCUGGCCACUCUUCCAGGCAGAGAAGAUGCAUGUCUGUUUUGAAACUUGUUUUCUCUACAGCCAAGAUUUAUUACAGUUAAAAUAAUUUUCACAAGUUUUGUGACAGUUUCUGUGUAACUAGGGGACAAGUGCAUAUGUAAUUAUGCAGCUUACAUCUCUCCACACAGUGAUAGCUGCAUAUCAGAUGCCAGGUGAGCGCUUCUCUGAGUACUUUUAAUAGUCGAGAUUUCUGUGAUAGGAUUCAGGACAGUGAAUAACCCCUCUUAAAAUUUAUAAAUUUUACAGCUAGAUAAUCAAUCUGGUCUGUGUUCCUUGGUGACUAAAGUGUCAUAGUUUAAAUUACAGCAACAAGGGCAAUUUUUUUAUUUGCAAGUGAAGUAUUUUCUGUUGAGAUAGGAGGAUUUGUUGUUUAUUAUCACAGAGGAGUUAAAUGCGAGUUAAGUGGGAACUGGAGUAUGAUUGCUGAAAGGGUCAGUAACUUCAGGAGAAAAAGCAUGUUAAAACAAAACUUCUGAGAACUUUCCUUGUUCUUAGCUCUUUUGUGCUCAUUACAAAUAAUUGGCUUUGUUGUAACUGAUAAAAGAAACACAGCCCUGUAAUUCAAGUUAACAAAUUAUGUUUUUGUUAUGCCCAUUUAAUAACCACACAUCAGGCCAGGACAAGAUGUCUCCUCAUUAUGAAGUUGUUUAAAAUCAGUCUGACUUUGGGUUCUGGGCUGGGUUAACAUCAAAAGUGGGAAUUUGUUUCAAAACUUUAAAGAAUUUAUCUUUUAUCUGAUAGAUCCACACAAGAUACAUGGAUUUUCUUCGAACUUCAGGGGAAAAAAAAAAUAAUCACAAAUCUGACCAUAAAAGAAUGCACUAAAAACAACACCUCAAGUAAUAAUUGAUUUUCAUAAUGCAAGUCUGAAGUGGG